rnacentral:rRNA from 1 species
GGGCCCGCACAAGCGGUGGAGCAUGUGGUUUAAUUCGAUGAUACGCGAGGAACCUUACCAGGGCUUAAAUGUAGUGGGACAGGUCUAGAGAUAGACCCUUCUUCGGACUCAUUACAAGGUGCUGCAUGGUUGUCGUCAGCUCGUGCCGUGAGGUGUCAGGUUAAGUCCUAUAACGAGCGCAACCCCUAUCGUUAGUUGCCAGCGAGUAAUGUCGGGAACUCUAGCGAGACUGCCGGUGCAAACCGUGAGGAAGGUGGGGAUGACGUCAAAUCAUCACGGCCCUUACGUCCUGGGCUACACACGUGCUACAAUGGCCGGUACAGAGAGCAGCCACUACGCGAGUAGGAGCGAAUCUUCAAAGCCGGUCUCAGUUCGGAUCGCAGUCUGCAACUCGACUGCGUGAAGCUGGAAUC